rnacentral:rRNA from 1 species
GACGAACGCUGGCGGCGUGCUUAACACAUGCAAGUCGAACGGAAAGGCCCUGCGUUUGUGGGGUUCUCGAGUGGCGAACGGGUGAGUAACACGUGAGUAACCUGCCCUUGACUUUGGGAUAACUUCACGAAACUGAGGCUAAUACCGGAUAGGAGCUCCUGUUGCAUUGUGGGGGUUGGAUAGUCUCGGCGGGUGGGGAUGGACUCGCGGCUUAUCGGCUUGUUGGUGGGGUAGUUGCUUACCAAGGCUGUGACGGGUAGGCGGCCUGAGAGGGUGACCGGCCACAUUGCGACUGAGAUACGGCGCAGACUCCUACGGGAGGCAGCAGUGGGGAAUAUUGCACAAUGGGCGGAAGCCUGAUGCAGCAGCGCCGCGUGCGGGAUGACGGCCUUCGGGUUGUAAACCGCUUUCGCCUGUGACGAAGCGGGAGUGACGGUAAUGGGUAAAGAAGCACCGGCUAACUACGUG